UCCCAGUAGCUAGUUGGUAAAGAAUCUGUCUGCAGUGCAGGAGAGCCAGGUUCGAUUCCUGGGUUGGGAA
rnacentral:tRNA from 1 species